GAGCUUGCUCCCUGAUGUUAGCGGCGGACGGGUGAGUAACACGUGGGUAACCUGCCUGUAAGACUGGGAUAACUCCGGGAAACCGGGGCUAAUACCGGAUGGUUGUUUGAACCGCAUGGUUCAGACAUAAAAGGUGGCUUCGGCUACCACUUACAGAUGGACCCGCGGCGCAUUAGCUAGUUGGUGAGGUAACGGCUCACCAAGGCGACGAUGCGUAGCCGACCUGAGAGGGUGAUCGGCCACACUGGGACUGAGACACGGCCCAGACUCCUACGGGAGGCAGCAGUAGGGAAUCUUCCGCAAUGGACGAAAGUCUGACGGAGCAACGCCGCGUGAGUGAUGAAGGUUUUCGGAUCGUAAAGCUCUGUUGUUAGGGAAGAACAAGUGCCGUUCAAAUAGGGCGGCACCUUGACGGUACCUAACCAGAAAGCCACGGCUAACUACGUGCCAGCAGCCGCGGUAAUACGUAGGUGGCAAGCGUUGUCCGGAAUUAUUGGGCGUAAAGGGCUCGCAGGCGGUUUCUUAAGUCUGAUGUGAAAGCCCCCGGCUCAACCGGGGAGGGUCAUUGGAAACUGGGGAACUUGAGUGCAGAAGAGGAGAGUGGAAUUCCACGUGUAGCGGUGAAAUGCGUAGAGAUGUGGAGGAACACCAGUGGCGAAGGCGACUCUCUGGUCUGUAACUGACGCUGAGGAGCGAAAGCGUGGGGAGCGAACAGGAUUAGAUACCCUGGUAGUCCACGCCGUAAACGAUGAGUGCUAAGUGUUAGGGGGUUUCCGCCCCUUAGUGCUGCAGCUAACGCAUUAAGCACUCCGCCUGGGGAGUACGGUCGCAAGACUGAAACUCAAAGGAAUUGACGGGGGCCCGCACAAGCGGUGGAGCAUGUGGUUUAAUUCGAAGCAACGCGAAGAACCUUACCAGGUCUUGACAUCCUCUGACAAUCCUAGAGAUAGGACGUCCCCUUCGGGGGCAGAGUGACAGGUGGUGCAUGGUUGUCGUCAGCUCGUGUCGUGAGAUGUUGGGUUAAGUCCCGCAACGAGCGCAACCCUUGAUCUUAGUUGCCAGCAUUCAGUUGGGCACUCUAAGGUGACUGCCGGUGACAAACCGGAGGAAGGUGGGGGAUGACGUCAAAUCAUCAUGCCCCUUAUGACCUGGGCUACACACGUGCUACAAUGGACAGAACAAAGGGCAGCGAACCCGCGAGGUUAAGCUCGCCCGUCACACCACGGAGAGUUUUGUAACACCCCGGAAGUUCGGGUGA
rnacentral:rRNA from 1 species